GGUUAAGCGACUAAGCGUACACGGUGGAUGCCCUGGCAGUCAGAGGCGAUGAAGGACGUGCUAAUCUGCGAUAAGCGUCGGUAAGGUGAUAUGAACCGUUAUAACCGGCGAUUUCCGAAUGGGGAAACCCAGUGUGAUUCGUCACACUAUCAUUAACUGAAUCCAUAGGUUAAUGAGGCGAACCGGGGGAACUGAAACAUCUAAGUACCCCGAGGAAAAGAAAUCAACCGAGAUUCCCCCAGUAGCGGCGAGCGAACGGGGAGCAGCCCAGAGCCUGAAUCAGUGUGUGUGUUAGUGGAAGCGUCUGGAAAGGCGCGCGAUACAGGGUGACAGCCCCGUACACAAAAAUGCACAUGCUGUGAGCUCGAUGAGUAGGGCGGGACACGUGGUAUCCUGUCUGAAUAUGGGGGGACCAUCCUCCAAGGCUAAAUACUCCUGACUGACCGAUAGUGAACCAGUACCGUGAGGGAAAGGCGAAAAGAACCCCGGCGAGGGGAGUGAAAAAGAACCUGAAACCGUGUACGUACAAGCAGUGGGAGCACGCUUAGGCGUGUGACUGCGUACCUUUUGUAUAAUGGGUCAGCGACUUAUAUUCUGUAGCAAGGUUAACCGAAUAGGGGAGCCGAAGGGAAACCGAGUCUUAACUGGGCGUUAAGUUGCAGGGUAUAGACCCGAAACCCGGUGAUCUAGCCAUGGGCAGGUUGAAGGUUGGGUAACACUAACUGGAGGACCGAACCGACUAAUGUUGAAAAAUUAGCGGAUGACUUGUGGCUGGGGGUGAAAGGCCAAUCAAACCGGGAGAUAGCUGGUUCUCCCCGAAAGCUAUUUAGGUAGCGCCUCGUGAAUUCAUCUCCGGGGGUAGAGCACUGUUUCGGCAAGGGGGUCAUCCCGACUUACCAACCCGAUGCAAACUACGAAUACCGGAGAAUGUUAUCACGGGAGACACACGGCGGGUGCUAACGUCCGUCGUGAAGAGGGAAACAACCCAGACCGCCAGCUAAGGUCCCAAAGUCAUGGUUAAGUGGGAAACGAUGUGGGAAGGCCCAGACAGCCAGGAUGUUGGCUUAGAAGCAGCCAUCAUUUAAAGAAAGCGUAAUAGCUCACUGGUCGAGUCGGCCUGCGCGGAAGAUGUAACGGGGCUAAACCAUGCACCGAAGCUGCGGCAGCGACGCUUAUGCGUUGUUGGGUAGGGGAGCGUUCUGUAAGCCUGCGAAGGUGUGCUGUGAGGCAUGCUGGAGGUAUCAGAAGUGCGAAUGCUGACAUAAGUAACGAUAAAGCGGGUGAAAAGCCCGCUCGCCGGAAGACCAAGGGUUCCUGUCCAACGUUAAUCGGGGCAGGGUGAGUCGACCCCUAAGGCGAGGCCGAAAGGCGUAGUCGAUGGGAAACAGGUUAAUAUUCCUGUACUUGGUGUUACUGCGAAGGGGGGACGGAGAAGGCUAUGUUGGCCGGGCGACGGUUGUCCCGGUUUAAGCGUGUAGGCUGGUUUUCCAGGCAAAUCCGGAAAAUCAAGGCUGAGGCGUGAUGACGAGGCACUACGGUGCUGAAGCAACAAAUGCCCUGCUUCCAGGAAAAGCCUCUAAGCAUCAGGUAACAUCAAAUCGUACCCCAAACCGACACAGGUGGUCAGGUAGAGAAUACCAAGGCGCUUGAGAGAACUCGGGUGAAGGAACUAGGCAAAAUGGUGCCGUAACUUCGGGAGAAGGCACGCUGAUAUGUAGGUGAAGUCCCUCGCGGAUGGAGCUGAAAUCAGUCGAAGAUACCAGCUGGCUGCAACUGUUUAUUAAAAACACAGCACUGUGCAAACACGAAAGUGGACGUAUACGGUGUGACGCCUGCCCGGUGCCGGAAGGUUAAUUGAUGGGGUUAGCGCAAGCGAAGCUCUUGAUCGAAGCCCCGGUAAACGGCGGCCGUAACUAUAACGGUCCUAAGGUAGCGAAAUUCCUUGUCGGGUAAGUUCCGACCUGCACGAAUGGCGUAAUGAUGGCCAGGCUGUCUCCACCCGAGACUCAGUGAAAUUGAACUCGCUGUGAAGAUGCAGUGUACCCGCGGCAAGACGGAAAGACCCCGUGAACCUUUACUAUAGCUUGACACUGAACAUUGAGCCUUGAUGUGUAGGAUAGGUGGGAGGCUUUGAAGUGUGGACGCCAGUCUGCAUGGAGCCGACCUUGAAAUACCACCCUUUAAUGUUUGAUGUUCUAACGUUGACCCGUAAUCCGGGUUGCGGACAGUGUCUGGUGGGUAGUUUGACUGGGGCGGUCUCCUCCUAAAGAGUAACGGAGGAGCACGAAGGUUGGCUAAUCCUGGUCGGACAUCAGGAGGUUAGUGCAAUGGCAUAAGCCAGCUUGACUGCGAGCGUGACGGCGCGAGCAGGUGCGAAAGCAGGUCAUAGUGAUCCGGUGGUUCUGAAUGGAAGGGCCAUCGCUCAACGGAUAAAAGGUACUCCGGGGAUAACAGGCUGAUACCGCCCAAGAGUUCAUAUCGACGGCGGUGUUUGGCACCUCGAUGUCGGCUCAUCACAUCCUGGGGCUGAAGUAGGUCCCAAGGGUAUGGCUGUUCGCCAUUUAAAGUGGUACGCGAGCUGGGUUUAGAACGUCGUGAGACAGUUCGGUCCCUAUCUGCCGUGGGCGCUGGAGAAUUGAGGGGGGCUGCUCCUAGUACGAGAGGACCGGAGUGGACGCAUCACUGGUGUUCGGGUUGUCAUGCCAAUGGCACUGCCCGGUAGCUAAAUGCGGAAGAGAUAAGUGCUGAAAGCAUCUAAGCACGAAACUUGCCCCGAGAUGAGUUCUCCCUGACUCCUUGAGAGUCCUGAAGGAACGUUGAAGACGACGACGUUGAUAGGCCGGGUGUGUAAGCGCAGCGAUGCGUUGAGCUAACCGGUACUAAUGAACCGUGAGGCUUAACCUU
rnacentral:rRNA from 1 species